AGCUCCCUCCUCAUGUCCCCGCUGCCGUGACCCCGUCCCCAAGCCCCUCUUCUCCUGCGGUGCUGUGUGUGAGGCACGACACCGCACCCAGCGGCAGGGUGGUUGCCUUUCCUGGCCCGUUGCCCGCCCCCCAGGUUUCCUUAGUGUAGACAGGGCCGCAGGUGCCGCCUGCGUGGCCUUCAGAGACGGCUCGGAUUUGUACGUUGCAGACAAUACCCCAUUAAACCUGAAGGACUGCAGGAGAAGACAAACCAUCAUUUACCUGCCCUGAUGCCUCAGUGAGCAACAAAAAUUACAGCACCCCUGAACUACAAGUCUCUGAGUGUGGCGUGCUCCACUGUAUACAACAGGAUCUAUAAAUCUCAGUUCACUGAAGAUCAGAAACAACCAGCUCUCCACAUUUCAGGUACUUUAUUACUCGGAUUGGUUUUAAUGCAAAAGAGAGACUGCAAGAGUUUUGCCCCUUAUUGUGUUUCCGAGCCUUCACUGGGAAACAAAGGAGAUCAAGGAAGAGCAAUAAUCACGAUAAGCGGUUUAUAAAGUAAGAUCUCCAAGGGAAAAGUUAGUAGAGCAGGCCAUAUCUGAGCUAGAUUAAAGGAAUUCUGAGGGAAGACAUGAUAGCUGUCAACAAACGUGUGAGAGGAACGCCAUAAAAGGAACAGGGAUCAAUUAUCCACUCUAGUUGAUGAGUACAAAACAGAAAAAUACGGAGUUAAGAUGCAGCAGAAAAACUUAGCUGAAUUAAUAGGAAAAGGGAACUAUUAAAUGUUUAUGAAUCAGGAAUUAGAAGGAACACAAACAGAGGGGCAAGAUAGUUGUGGAAUUGCCAUUAAUGCAGAAAAUCAAGCCUAACACAGACACUUGGUUUACAAAUAACCAAGAUCAGUCCUGCCAGAAUGUAAGAAGGAGGAAGUAGAUGACCCACUUGAAGUCACAGCUAAGCCAAGUGAAUUGAUAAUAAGCCACAAUCCAUCUGCCACAGAUCUCACCUCUGGAUGUUUGCGCCUCAUGUGUCGACUCAUUGAAGCUCUGGUAGAAACCUUUGUCCCACAGAGCUGACAACUCUGAGCUUCUACCUUAUCGUGAGUUAGCUGGAUGUGCUUCUGAAGCAUGUAAUCGGUGACGUACUUCUUAUCACAGACUGAACACGUCCACUGUUUCCCCACUGGUGGCAAAUGAAAUGAAAAGGAGUUAGUAGAUAUCGCUAAAGGUGAAUAUUGUAAUAUUGCAUUAAGAGGAACACCUUUUUUUUUUUAAUUACGUAGUGCAGAACGCUGACUCAGGAUUGCUUGAAGCAGAAUGUCAAGCUGUUGUCUUUUGAUACAUUGCAUUAGAACACUUACCUGUAUGAAUCAGUUUAUGGGUCUCCAUUGUGUUUCUCUCACUAAAUGUCUUCCCACAGAGCUCACACAUAAAGUCUUUGAUCCCUGUAUGGAGAGAUUACAUUUAAAACUGGAGUGAUAAACAACGGUACCUAGUACAACUGUGAAUCUUAGGUUAUGAAAAAUCAGUUUCACUAGCCACUUUUUCCAUUGUUUGCAAAAGUACUGUAGGAAAUGCAGGCACUAACUGGAGCUGGUGCAGUGGGUGAGACAUUUGUCUCUGGGGAUCAGAGUUCAAACCCUACUUCAAGUCAAAAACCGUACCCUAGACCCAAUGGUCUAUGUUAAAAAAACAAACCAUGACACAGUGGGCAGGUCUCUGCUCAUGAGAGGCCAAAGUCUUCACACCUUGUAAAACACUCCUUUAAGCUGUGUUGCUCAUGCUCUUCGACUGCUCAGAGCAGGGUAAUGUCAUAUAUUUCCAAAACAACCAUUUAACUGAUUAAGUGCGAUUUCUGUAGGAUGACCGGUCCUCUGGAUUGCUCUCACCUGUGUGCCUUUUGUAGUGCUUCAGCAUGUUGACCUUCUGUGCGAAUUUACGAUGGCAUUCCUUGCAUUCAUAUUCCUUAAUCCCUUUGUGGAGUUUCAUGUGGUGACGCAGAGCAUGUUUUGUCUUCAUUCCUGUGAGCCAUGAAGAUGUAACUGAAGACAUGGUGGGAAAAUUCAUCCGCAUUACCCUUUGCCCCGCACCCAGAGUAAGGACUCAAGAUGAGCAUGUUUCAAGCAGAUGAUCCUAACUUCAUCCCUAAUAGAAGAUGUCCACAAAUGCCCAUAGCUGAGCUAGAAAUGCUCUUUAACUAGUGGGUUUGGGUUUUUUAAGUAAAAUAUAUAUGAAAAUAUUUAAACAAUCACUAAGGAGGGUAAGAGAAAAGCACGGAGAGACAGGGAGUUUGACAACAGCAUAAUCUACGGCACAAUACUAGUGUCUUGCAGGGAUUCCAGUUCAAGGUUGUUCAAGUAACAAAGUAGAGAAAAAUGUUUAUUCUAACUGCUAACUCCUGAAAACUCAGCCUAGAACGCACAGUUAAACUGGGUUCUUUCUGACUCUUUUCUGGGACGUAAAUGUGAUGGAAAUCAGGCAAGCAAGCAUUCCUGAAAUUUGCAGCAGAACAGAUGAAGAGCUUUAGAAAUCAGGUUUGCUUGCUGCAGGCCAGGGAACUGAUGGAUGUAAAAUUAAGGCAGACCCCUAACAUCCUGAUCAGCAUGGCUUCCUAUUCAAAAUACAAGACUCUCAUUACUUUGAGGACUUCCCUGGUAUUUAAUGAAGCUAUUGGUUUUAAUAUGGGAAAUGUAACCUAAACAAAACGUCUAAUUCAAAGGCGAUGUCUGUACCUUUACCACAUUCCGCACACAGGUAUUCUCGGAUGUUAUCGUGGACUCUCAUGUGCUCUUUUAACAUGUCCUUUCUGGCAAAUGACUUUCCACACUGCUCACACGCAUGACUUUUUACACCUUCCCAAAAAAAAAAAAAGGUUACUGCAGUAUAUAAGCAGACUCUCUGGGGAAAAUAUGUGUGGUGCUAAAAGCUGACAAACCUCUGGCAAUAGAUUCACUGAGCAAUAUUCAAACUGUCUCCUGAACAGCUCCUCUCAUGCAAACUGUAUCCCAAAA